rnacentral:tRNA from 1 species
CAAGACGUAGCUAAAUCAAAGCACUCAGCUUACACCUGAAAGAUACCUACUGCUCGUGGGUCGUCUUGA